CAGCCGCCGCGGGAAUACGAAGGGGGCUAGCGUUGUUCGGAAUUACUGGGCGUAAAGCGCACGCAGGCGGCUCGAUAAAUUAGAAGUGAAAGCCUUGGGCUUAACCUGAGAAUUGCUUUUAAGACUGUCGAGCUAGAAUCCAGAAGAGGGUAGUGGAAUUCCGAGUGUAGAGGUGAAAUUCGUAGAUAUUCGGAAGAACACCAGUGGCGAAGGCGGCUUACUGGCUCAUUCUAGACGCUGAGGUGCGAAAGCGUGGGGAGCAAACAGGAUUAGAUACCCCUGUAGUCCCUGUCUCUUAUAC
rnacentral:rRNA from 1 species